rnacentral:lncRNA from 1 species
GACAGGAGAGAGAACUGAGACAAUUUAUGUGGUGAUGUACAUACCAAAAGGGAUGAUUUCUGACAAGUUCUAUACAGGAACAAUUUUCAGACUAGAUGACUGACAAAGGGUGCUCCUUUAUGUCAUUAUCUAUAUGGUGGUUGACCCACCUGUGGAGACUUCAUAUUCGAUAGAAUUGGAGAUAUAUAUCCAGAGUUUAAGGUAUCAAACUUAAUUAUGAAGUCAUGAUGUACUGCAGGUAGAACUAAAGAACCAUCCAAUGAAGGCGGCAACAAGAUGCACGUAUAAGUAGUAGGAAAAUCAGGCAUGGUUGACAAUUAAGUUAGCGUACAAUAAAUUCAGCAAAUAUCUGUAGAGUGAUUAGUUACAAAGACAACAUGCACAAACACAUACUUUUGCUGAUAGGCCACGUUUGAUCUUGUUUUAGAACCAAAGACCUGAAACACUAUCCUACUUUUGCUGAUAGGCCACGUUUGAUCUUGUUUUAGAACCAAAGACCUGAAACACUAUCCUACUUUGCUGAGCAAAAGCCACUCAUAUUCCCCUGCCAACACAUCUACUGAAAAAAUGCAGAACCAGAAAUAAUGCAACCUAUGAUGAAUUAAUUCUGCUUA